rnacentral:tRNA from 1 species
GCAACGGUUGCCUAGCCUGGUAGGGCGCUGGCCUGGAAAGCCAGUGUGUGAAUGCAUUCGGGGGUUCGAAUCCCUCCCGUUGCG